GUCCUUUCAUGUGGUGCCAUAUUUUGACCAAGUCAACAUCACAUGCUAAUCACAUGUCCAUCACGCCUCACCUCUUGAUCUUUCAUGAUGAUGAUCCAAGGGCUCCAAUGCAAGGUGCCAUUCACUUGACCCAUUAUAUCUUCAUCCAAUGGUGGGAUUAAGAUCCAAUGGUCAAUUAUGAUAGCCAUCCUCUAACCCAAUCCAAUUGGGUUAAACCAACUCUCCAUUAUGUCUUCAUCCAACGGUAGAUCAAGAUCUAACGGUCUAGAUUGAAUGAUUUAUUAAAUCUAAUCCAAUUAGACUCAAACCAAGUCAAUUAGGUGCCAACUCUUGGCUAACCCAUAUUAGAACAUGAUCUAAUCAAAUUAGAUCAAUUAAGAAUC
rnacentral:lncRNA from 1 species